UGAGUAACCUGCCCCUGACUCUGGGAUAAGCCCGGGAAACUGGGUCUAAUACCGGAUAUGACUCCUCAUCGCAUGGGUGGGGGGUGGAAAGCUUUAUUGUGGUUUUGGAUGGACUCGCGGCCUAUCAGCUUGUUGGUGAGGUAAUGGCUCACCAAGGCGACGACGGGUAGCCGGCCUGAGAGGGUGACCGGCCACACUGGGACUGAGACACCGGCCCAGACCUCCGUACGGGAGGCAG
rnacentral:rRNA from 1 species